GCCGGGCGUGGUGGUGGGUGCCUGUAAUCCCAGCUACUCGGGAGGCUGAAUCAGGAGAAUCGCUUGAACCCAGGAGGCGGAGGUUGCAGUGAGCCAAGAUCGCGCCACUGCACUCCAGCCUGGGUGACAGAGUGAGACUCCGUUUUUU
rfam:Homo sapiens chromosome 12, GRCh38 reference primary assembly.